GGUGUAUCAACAAUAGAUGGCGACGAAAAUUUUGUCGGCCAUCUUUGUUACAGACAGUUUAUGAUUUCGGGACUUUUGGGAAAGGAAAUCCUUGAACUAAAAGUUUCCUGUUUUAACUGGAGAUUUUUUUCUGUUAGGAGCCGUCGGCGACCGAGUGGAGGGCAGUUUUCAACCAUCAGAUUCACCUUUUUAUCCUAGAGCACCGCAACAGCCUGUCUCAGCAGCAUACCCAACUCAUCCCCAGUUCGAUGCUAAUUAUGGAUAUUAUUCUGUGAACCAGGAAAGCCCAUCUCAGUUUGGAGACAGCUAUGCAGCAGCAGUAAAUCCAUACCAAGCAGCAGCUCCCCACCAUGGAAUGAGUUACAACAACCCACAGCAGUCCCUUUAUGGCUCGGCGCUGUCGCCUGCCGCCAGCGCUCAUUAUGGCUCCUCCAACCAUGGUGGGGCCCAAUAUCCAGGUGGUGGGGGCGGGGGUCAACAGUGGCCUGGUGGGCCACAGCAACAAUUGGGAAGUUCACCUACUCCAUCUCCUGCCCACACUCCCCCAGCUGCUACUGCACAGUACCACCAUCACCACCGACAAUGGCCAGCCCAAGGACCAGCGACUGGAGCCCAAGGCCCUCCUGGGUACUAUCCUCGAGGGGCUGGUCCAGGCCCUAUGCCACAACAUGCACAUGUUGGUGGUGCUUGGGCUAAAUCAGGUCAUGGUCAUGGCCAGCCUGGUGUGGGUGUUGGUGUAGGUGCUGCAGGUGCUACUGGACCCCUCUUCAGUUUACAGCUAUUGGUGAACCAAGAAAUGAACCGUGCUGCAUUAGCUUCAGCAGCUGCAGCUGGGGUUGGUGUUCCAGUCGCAGGGUCUCCAGGAGCUGGCGUUCCCCCAUCGCACCAGCACCAACAGCCAGUGCCCAGUGUUGUAGCAGAGGGAAGUGUUGAUUUAAGUGCUGACAGUUACCGCCGCCCUCUUCCUCUUACUCACAGACCACAGCAGUCACAAUUACAGCAGCAGCCCUUGCCACUUAACGGGGAGGUUAGCAAAGAUACGGUAAGUGUCAUUGCCCAGACGCCACGAAAGCUGACAAUGCCCUCUCAACUUACCCCAAUGUCACCCGCAACACUGGAACCAAGUCGGCCAUCACCAGAAAUUACUUCGGAUAGAGGAGGUGGUGCAGCUAUCAGUGGAGACAAACACGAACCUGCAGUAGCACCUGCGACGUCAAGUCCGUCAGUUCCCAGCGUUGUUAGUGGUUCUGCUGUAAUGGCACCUGUUGCAGCACCAGCACCAGCACCUGCUCCAGCACACACACCAACGCCACCACCUCCUCCAGAAUCCCCUGCCAGUCGUCACUCAGAUGAUGGCCACCAAUUGCCACCACCAGGAGUGCAGCAGCAACCACAACCGAGACCAUCACCUUCACCGUCACCAGCUCCUACAUCUUCCAAAGAUCUUGGGCCAGUCUCACCUGUGCGAUCUCCGAAGAGUGGCACAAUAAAACGCACGAAGAAAGUUGAUUCAAUCCUGGAAAACCUUGUUGAGAGUGGUACCAAGAAGGGGAGUGCUCAGAGCACUAGCUCAGGUUCCGAACAUUCUCCACAAACUCCUGUCAGCACGGUUGUUGUGGCUCCUGCGUCUGUAAUUGUCUCUCCAGCAGUCACAAGUGAAGAUAGCGGUGGUGGUCGUGAUGCUCAGUCCCCGUCACCCGGUGAUUCUGCUGUUCCACAGAGGCCUGCUAGUAGAGCACAUGAAGAUGGCACUACAUCACCUACAUUCAAUGGGAGCACAGAUGAAGACAAUGGCAAGCCAAGACGGAAACGGAAACUUGACAAACCUGUCAGAGUUGCAAAGACAUCCAGUGAUACAGAGAGUAAUAGUAACAGCUCAAAAGCACCAGGAUCAGAAGAUACUGUGACAGCUCCAGUUGACAUGCCUGAUAGUUCAGAGAAACUGAAAGAAGUUGUGAAAGUGGAGCCCCUGGUCACUGAAAGUGAAACUGUAACCAAAUUGACUGGGCUACUGUCUGAUAAUUCUGAAAGUGAUAUAAAGAGGGAAGAGGACAGUAAACCUGCAGAAAAAGAAGUGACAAAAGAAGCUGUUAACAAUAUUGUAGCUGCACCCUCGGAGAAUAAUGACUCUGUAGAAUCAUCUGUGAAAAGUGAAAGUGUUCCACAAAAGAAUGAUAAUGCAGAUGACCUCCUUUCCGUUCUCAACUCUGAUAGUGUGAAAUCUGAGCCAAAAUUAGAGCCAAAAAGUACUAUAAUUGAUGUUGAAACUGAACUUGAGAAAAUGUUUGCAGGAAUUGUAGAGGAAGAUAAUAUUUCUUCAGAUACUGUGAAGGCGGAAGUUCCAUCAUCAUCUGUUACAGAUUCUUCCACAAUGGCAGCAAAGGCAUUAGAAUGUUUAAGUGGUUCUGAAAAUACUUCUCCGUCUGUGACUGCAACUCCAGCUCCACCACCACCGCCACAAGAUACAAAACCACGAGUUUCAAAACGAGGCCGACCCAAGGGUUCACGAAAUAGUUCACAUCGUUCUUCCGAUAAUGUCCUAGGCCUCUCUUCAUCAGAGAAUACACCCAAGAAAAAGAAAAGGAAACAGGCAGGACGGGUUAGUGGGAUAAGUGAUGAAGGGCUGUCAUCACACAAGAAAAAGGUGAAGCGACCAAAACUUGAAGCGGGUGCAACUUGUGACAGCCCCAUACCUUUGGCAGCCGGAAGAAGACGGGGCCGUGAUGCAAGUGGUGUUGCGACUGACAGUGGUAGUAAUGCCAGCAGUGGGAGGUCACGAGGCCCUGUGGUUCAUCUAGAAGGACCCCGUGACAGUCCCUACAGUGUUACUGUAGUUAAUGGCCCAGCUCGUUUGGAUGAUGAUGAAGGCAAUGACAGGAAAACAUCAAUAGGUUCCAGUCGUCGCAAGAAUUCAUCCUACCAUAAUGAUCUUGAGUACAGGGGUAAAGGUGGUGGUGGGCUAUUCAGCAGCACAUUGUCGGCACGAUAUGAUGCGCACACAUCAGAUCCAACGUGGAUUUGUGUUUUUUGUAAGAGCGGCCCACAUUCGGCACUUGGUAGUGGUGAUCUCUUUGGUCCUUAUCUCGUAUCUCGACCAGAACGAGAGUUGCCUGCAUCAGCAGAUGAGAAAGAUAUAGUUGAGGAGCAGUCACGCGGUGGCAGUGGUACACGUGGCAAACGAAGUCUUCGCACUGCACACAUGGUUGAACAUUUCCAUCAAAAAAUGUCAAAGAAGGCAAAACGAUCACAUUCAGUUGAUGGAAGUGUUGCUGUAGCUGGAAUGACACCAGUUGGUAAGGAUGAUAGUUGCUACGAGGUGUGGACACAUGAAGAAUGUGCGGUAUGGGCAGCUGGUGUACAUUUAGUGGGUACACGUAUUGUUGGACUGCAGGAAGCUGUUUGGGGUGCUGUACGCACUACAUGUACCAAAUGUGGUGAGGGAGGUGCAAGCUUGGGUUGUGUACGUAGAGGCUGUGACCUGAGGGCUCAUUAUGGCUGUGCUCAGGACAUGAGUUGGUUAUUGGAAGAGGAAAAUUACGUUGCCAAGUGCACACAGCACAAGAUUACAAGCAAGGGGAGAUGAUUGCACUGGGAUGGAGGCAUGAGGAUGCAUGGUAUAAAAUAGAAACUCAUAUUUUAGUGAUGAUGGAAUUACGCAGAAUGAAAGACUGUUACUCAAGAUUUCUGAUUGUUUUUAAAGAUAUACCUGUUGCACUGUAAAUACUGAAAGUUUGUAAAAGCAGACUGAAAUCUGAAGAGUGUUGGUAAAAAGAGUAAUAAGGACUGUAAUUAUGGGUCUGAAGACUUAGUGAACAUAACAUGCAAUGGACACUAUGUGCUGAUCAUGAUGAACUGGUCAUUCUCACAAAGUUCCCUGUGAAAUUGUAAUUUUUAUGAGUGAAUGUUGUAUGAUACCCAACUUUAUUUUCAUUUCAUUAAUAUUUUCCUCAUAUCCUGCAGAAGAUGAAGAGAAACGGCUACAAGAACAACUUGUAGAUAUAAGUACCACGUUAAGUGGUGUGUAGCAGACCAAUAUGGCAGCUUUUGCCUUAGCAGAUUUUUGAUUACCAAACAGCUAACGGAUGUACAGUAUACACUGUAGUACUUGAAAGUGACCUAAGAUUGAAAUUCUGCAAUAGUGUGACAAACUAAAAACUACCAGUUGGUAGUAACAUGAGUCAUUUAAGAAGUUCAUGAUAACUGUGCACCCGAGUUCAAGGUAAAGUACAUACAAAAGUUGAAAGACUGAUACGUAUUUCUAACCUUGGGUUCCUGCAUUGUCUUGUACCACAUUGACAGUUACUGUAGAACUGUAACUCGUUGUUAGAAACUACAACAGGAACCUGUAAAUCAUAAAAGUUUUCAUAGGGAUUGCACUGAGGAAGCAGUAUGGUAGAAACAAAUCGGAAGGGGCUAUUAGCAAAUAAAUUGUAGAAGAAGAAAAAUAAUAAAUAACUUCUUUGAGGAUGGGAGUAAUUAUCACAGUACUAAUCCAACAACUUCAUGAUCCGAUCUGUUAUGUUACGUUAUUUCCUGCCCCUUUUUCCUCAUUCAUGUAUUUAAUGUUACAGUCACCUCUGGCAUUAUUUUGUGUCAUCCAGGGUAGCUUUAAGUACACUAGAACUGACCUAGGGGUCUAAAUUUGACCACUGUGUACACUUUCUAAAUUCACAUGUUUAUGACAACACAAUUACCUACUAGUUGUCACUGCUAACUGAUGAGAUCUCCCUUUUGACUUUGCAAGGCAGCUAUGAAGAUAAAAUAUUUUUCCCAUGUUACUGAAACGUGUUGUAAGUUGAAAUAAUAUUCCGGCACAGAGUCGAGUAGAAGUGACAAGGCAGAACAGAUGCACUGGUUAUGGUGCAAUUUUGGUCUGUCGCAAAAACCAUUGUUUUCUUGCUGCGAUUUGUAUUCUUGUGUUGUCAUUCUUCCGUGUUGUGCAGCAGAUGACAGUCGUGUCUUCUAAAUAUCCAGAUUUUGCUAAAGUGGUUGAAGAUAUAAAGUCAAAUGCGUUAUCGGUUACAAAUGCUGCAAAGAAGUAUAGAAUUCCACGAACUACUGUAGGAGACCAUGAAAGGGGAAGGCAUGGAGUAAAUAUGCUGUGUUUAAUGUGGAGAAAGGAAAAAUCAUUUUAGAACAUUUGGUUUCUGUUUCAAGGUACAGAUUUCCAUUUUUGAAAUUCGACCUUCAGGAAUUACCAAAAUAUUAUUUUAUGUCUGGGAAUUAGUUAAAUACUUUCUAUUACAUUCAUGAACAUGAACACAUGUAAUAUAUGUCAUUAACAAGUGUGUUAAGUCCAAAUUUUCCAAUACUAAAAUUCCUUGCAAAGAAAUUAAAAAGUAAAUUAAUUAAUCCAGUAAGGAUGCCAAUAUCAGCCAGAAUGUGUGUGAAUGUUCAUUUACAUGUACUCCUAACAUGGACUUCAAGUUAACACCAAGUACUGGUUUGAAUCUGCUGGUGCUUAAAAUGUGUUUUCCUCAGUGACCAUGGAUGUUAAUACAGGGAAAAUACAGGAAACAAUCCCUUAGUUGUGAGCUAUAAGAUACUGUUUUCCAUGAAAAUGCAAAUCACUUUGUCUGUGAAGUAGUGUAAAAAAUAAGAGAGAUAAGUGUCGAAUCUGGGUGAGUUUAUUGUACUGCAGAAGGAAUAAAUUAGAAUGAUAAAAAAAAGGAAAUGUGUGAAAAAUAUAAGAAUGGAGAGGAAUCAUAUGAACUGAACUCUCUCUCUCUCUCUCUCUCUCUCUCUCUCUCUCUCUUUUUCAGUUCUUUAUAAUCUGUAUGUGUUCCGAAAGCGGAGAGCAGUGACAAACAUGAUGUCAAAAAGGUUUGUUCUCAAUGUGUAUAUCUGUACCAGAAUAAUUAAAGAUUUUAUUAUUAUUGUUGUUUUUGUUAUCGUCACAUAAGUUUAACAAUUUCAUUCACUAUCAUAAGUAUAUAACCAGGAUUUAAAAGAGGUAAAUGUAACACUUAAGAGUACAUUUGUACAGAUGGAAGCAAUUUUCGCAUGCUUGCCUUUACAGUGUGUUAGUUGUACACAUGAUUUUAUCAGAAGAUUCUUGUUUAACUUUUUCUUCCGUGUACUAUGUCAAUAAUUUCCAGUGGUUUAAUUAUUGGUAGAAUAAGAAAAUUUAGAUCUCUCUGUACACUUAAUAACUUAGAAAACUGUUAACUUCACCCAGUACGCAGUGUGUUUAAAGGGUUGUAUCUGUUUCAGUAGAAGGAAUAUCUGGGUAAUUUACAAUAUUUACACAGGACUAGUGUAAUCCAUAGGAAGUAUGUAAGAAUUGUACUCCAUGGGGUAUAGUGUGUGUUUGCUUAAGGAUAAGACUUGGGAAUACAAAAUAGUG